CCUACGGGUGGCAGCAGUGAGGAAUAUUGGUCAAUGGACGCAAGUCUGAACCAGCCAUGCCGCGUGCAGGAAGACGGCUCUAUGAGUUGUAAACUGCUUUUGUACGAGGGUAAACGCAGAUACGCGUAUCUGUCUGAAAGUAUCGUACGAAUAAGGAUCGGCUAACUCCGUGCCAGCAGCCGCGGUAAUACGGAGGAUUCAAGCGUUAUCCGGAUUUAUUGGGUUUAAAGGGUGCGUAGGCGGUCGGAUAAGUUAGAGGUGAAAUUCCGAGGCUCAACUUCAGAAUUGCAGAUGAUACUGUGAGGCUAGAGAGUAGUAGCGGUAGGCGGAAUGUAUGGUGUAGCGGUGAAAUGCUUAGAGAUCAUAAAGAACACCGAUUGCGAAGGCAGUUUACUAAGCUACUUCUGACGUUGAGGCACGAAAGCGUGGGGAGCAAACAGGAUUAGAUACCCGUGUAGUC
rnacentral:rRNA from 1 species